UGCUUCACCAGCCCCACCCCUCUUUCUUUGCUUGAAACUGGGAGGAUCUUCCAAAGGACAUACCAUUUUCCACGUGUAGUGCAAGCUAAGAAUGACAACUCAGUCAGAAGCAAAGAAGUCUACAAGUACAGAACCAAAGUGGAGAAGUGGUCGUCUGACUGGAGUGUCUGGAGGGGAACAUGCUCACUGGAUCAAACGGUCUGCUGCUAGGGCUCACUUGAGGGCCAGUGGAUUCAAGGACGAAGACUUCAAAAAGCCGAUAAUCACGGUAGUGUGUCCGUACAGCAAUGCUCUUCCCUGUAACAACCACUUUCGUGAGCUUAGUGACCUGGUGUGUGCCGAGGUAGAGAGGAGAGGAGGCAAACCCUUUGUUUGUGGUACACCUGUCGUCAGUGACGGAGAAACAAUGGGCUCUGAUGGUAUGAGAUAUUCCCUCAUCUCCAGAGACUGGAUAGCCGACUGUGUGGAGAUCAUGCACGAGGCUUAUGCUGCAGAUGCUGUAAUUGCUCUAGGAGGCUGUGACAAAACAGUGCCUGGUGUUUUGAUGCCUCUUGCUCGGCUCGACGCUAUUGGGAUCUCACUGUACGGGGGUACGAUCCUCCCCGGGUGCCGACAGGGAAAGAAGGAGGGGUUGGACGCUCAGAGCAUCAUGGAGGCUAUAGGUGCGUAUGGAGCUGGCAGUAUUGACAUAGAGGAGCUCCAUGAUAUUGAGAAGUGCUCUCUUCCCGGCUCAGGAGCUUGUGGAGGUAUGUUCACUGCUAACACAAUGUCUGCUGCUGUGGAGGCUCUGGGAAUGGCACUGCCAGGCACUGCCUCUGGUCCUGCUGUCACCCGUGACAACGAGGUGACUUCUCAAAAGCGUGAGGAUUGUCAGCGUACAGUGGAGCAGGUGUUUGCUCUGUUGGAUAGCAAGACACACACCAGGGAAAUCAUGACAAAGAAGGCGUUUGAGAAUGCUGUGACUGUGGUACUUGCAGUGGGUGGCUCCACCAAUAGUGUACUGCAUCUGCUGGCUUUGGCAAAUGAGGCUGAUGUGGAUCUGUGUAUUGAGGACUUCAACAGGAUUGCUGAUCGUGUGCCUCUGCUAGGCAACUUCAAGCCUCAUGGAAAGUACCACAUGGCAGACCUGCACACUGCUGGAGGCCUCCCGAUACUCAUGAAGGAGCUACUAGACGCAGGGCUCUUACAUGGUGACUGUCUCACAGUGACCGGAAAGACUGUGGCAGAGAAUUUAUCAUCUGUCUCCAAAGCAUCUGAUCUGACACAGGACGUUGUGUACCCCAUCUCUAAACCCCUCUCCCCUCCCGGGCACCACAUUACCAUUAUCAAGGGUAGCCUGGCAACAGACAGUGCCGUGCUGAAGCUGAGUGGGAAAGUGUUUGACAAGCCGUUCAAAGGCCCAGCGAUUGUGUUCGAUGGUGAGGGGCCAGCCUAUGAUGCCAUUAUGGGCGGCCAGGUUAAACCAGGACAGGUGCUCGUGAUACGAUAUGAGGACCCAAGGGAAGAACCUCUCUCCUCCGUGUAGUCCUGGCAUGCCUGAGAUACUGAGUCCAGGCUCUGCACUAGUUGGUGCACUAGUUGGUGCCGGCCUAAGGUAAGACCGUUCCCUUGAUAACUGAUGGACGCAUGAUUGGUCAUGUGACACCUGAGGCAUUCGUGGGCGGGCCUAUAGCACUAGUGGAGAACGGAGAUAUGAUAAGCAUUGAUGCUGUCAACAGGAGAGUAGAUCUGGAGGUCAGUAAGGAGGUGUUGACGGCUCGGAAAGCUUGCUGGAAGAUUCCCCAAGAGGUUCAGAAAGUGAAGGGUCUACUGGCGAAGUAUCGACGCUCUGUGUCCAGUGCACAUACAGGAGCUGUGACCAGCUAAACCAACUGAACAUUGUAGUAGAGGCCAAAGUUUUAGUUUUGUCCUGUAGGGCCAUGCAAAGUCAAUUUGUAGUUUCUCAGGCCCUCGCGCUUGGAAAUUGACAGCUUUACAAAAAAGUUAAAUAUCACGUGACCUCAAAUUAAAGGCACUAAAAGAAAAGAAAAGGAUAAAUUUGUAUGGUUUUUUGGUCAUGAAUAUAAUUAUGACUAAAAUUAAUAAAUAAUUAUGAUAAUUAUUAUCCUAUGGAUACUGAAGAUUAUCACGAGUCUGUGCCAGUAACUGCACAAGUGCCUGCAAGGCACGAGUGACAGUUACUAGGCACGGACGAGUGAUAAUCAUCAGUAUCCAUGGGAUAAUGCAUUUAUUGCUUGGCAACCAAAAUGCAGGUUGAAUCUGCGCAUGCGCAACAUGCGGUUGCUUUUUUGCUUUUGUACAUUUGUAUUGUUUUGAUAAAAUAAAAAAAAAAAAUUGUUUUUGAAAAAAAAAAAAAAAAAAAAAGUUGCUUUAUCAACCAGAAGAAUGCGUAGCAACAAAAUUGAUCUCCCAGUUGAAGACGAGUUUAAGAGAAAGAAAACAGCUAGAAAGACAAAGAAAUAAGACUCUAGAACACCAAGAGAGCUUGCAGAAGGCUACUUAAAGAUUUUGUAGAGAACAGACAAGAAAAAAGACAAGAAAAACGUUGACAACCAGCAACCCGUUUUGAAAAUGGAUAGUUCUGAAGGAUAAACAGCAUGUGCUUGCUUUCUAUCAUGCUCCAGUGUAUCAGAAGAGGAAACAUGCACCGCUAUAACUGAAGAAAAGUGUGACAACCGUUUUUGAAGCCAAAACGACUUUAUACAAGCCUGAACAGGCUUAUAUGGUGGUGCAGUACACUUCUACAUGUGCAAUACUCCGCUCAAAGCACCCACUUCCAACACUGAUGCCUGUUUGAUGCGUUAAAUAUGAACACUGACAACCUCCUGACCCUCGGCUUCACUGCAAAAAGAGCACAGAAGUGAUACAGAGCAUCAGAAAACAAGAAAAGAGACUGAUAAACAUUGCAAUGCAUAAUUAUAAGUGUGUAAACUAUGUUAGACUACAUUACAUCAUCUGUAAUUGAUCUGAUUGGCUAAAAACAGUAGAUUACAUGGAAGCAUAAUCUACAGGAAGGUAGUUAUUCUACAGGAAUGGGCGCAUAUUCUACAGGAAGUGGACACAUAUUCUACAGGAAAUGGACGUAUAUUCUACAGGAAGUGACAAAUAAUUUGCAGGAAGUUCUCAAAAGUUGGAAUGAAAUUUUUAGUGAAAGUGACAAGAAGAUGACAAAAACAUUAUAAAAAACACAGAAUGCAAUAGUUUUUUCAGUCAAUAUCCAUUCUUUCCAUGUCCACUGUUGCUUUGUAUUGCUUUUUCCAGUUGGGCAUGGGCAGGGGGGCCAGGAAGCAUCAAAAACACUUUAGUAGUCGCUUGACACUUUCUAUUGAGGUUCCAUGCCGGUCCAGUCUGCUCUAUACCCCCUCCACUCCACCACAGUGCUUCAUUCUUCUUCUUGUAGUGUUGCAGAGUCAGUUCUAGCAUAGUUCUAUGUUCUUUUUACGUGUCUGUUCUUUCCAGUAUCUUCAGGAAGCGUUUCACAAGCUUUACUAAGUUUUACUGUAGUUUUUCGUUGUUUUGAAGCAGUCUUCUUGUCUUUUUCUGUCAACUGGUGUCUCUCACAGCUCCAGCUCGUCCAGCUCGCACAAAUUCAAUUUUCUGUUGCUACGCACCAAACCUGGCUUUUUAUAACCACGCCUCGCGCAUGCGCAAUGAAGUCCAAGUUAGAUAGACCACACCCACUCGUAGAAUAUGCGUCUUAGUAACCACCUUGGUUACGGUUAGAUUCCCUCGGCUUUGCGCCUCGGGCUAACCGCAACCGCGGAGGUUACAUAGACGCAUAUUCUACUCUUAGGUGUAGUCUAUCCUAUACUUUUUCUUGUUCUCUCACUGCUGAAAACGUUUAUUCCAAAUAAGAAUCACUUCCUAGUGUGCAAUAACAAGUGUGCAAUAAUACUUCUGGGUGUGCAAUAUGGAAAAAUAUCUGCACAGUCGGUGAUGAGUCGCUUCCUGUGCAAUUUGAAUGUAAAACGCUGAUGUCAGCACUUAUUAAAAAGCAAUAAGUAAAAAUUAUGCACUUUCGCUUAUUGAGGAAGUUAGGGGUGUGUUUUCAAUUAAAAUUCUAUGAAUAUCAUUAUCAUUAAUAUUUAUCAAAUAAUGCCUCAAUCCGCUUGCUUUAUUAGGAAUAAUAGCCUGAGAAACUACAAAUUGACUUUGCUUGGCCUAGAGCAAAGAUUUAAUUAAUGUAUUCUUAUUAUGCAUGCUUGUAUAAACCGUGUUUUGCAGCUAUACAUAAUUAGCGAUGUCAGACCGAUUUUCAUUUUUGCUAUUUCUAACUCCUAUGUAUUACUAUCUCUUUUGAACACUCUAGGCAAACCAGAAAAACUUUACUGCACUGGAUUUGGUCAAGCAAAUGCAGAGAUACAGCGUUUUGAAGAACACUAGUCAGGGAAAAAUUCGUACAAAAAUUUACCGCAUUUUAAUGUACUUGGGCAGGACUUAUGAAAUUUGUUGUUAAUACCGGAAAUGAUCUUAAAGUUAGCAUAUCUGCUGAACCGCUUGGUCUAUUCUCUUUUAAAAAACUAUGAAAUGGACACUCAGGACUCAGGAGUUAACAUUAUAACCAUUUGAUAUCUAUUAUGAAGUUUAUAAUGUUUCUGUAAUGUAUAUCUUUAUGAUGUCCCUAUAAUAGUAUGAUGUCUCCUGCUUCAGAGAGUUCUUUUGGAUUUAAAGUAACCAUGCUAUCUUUUCAGUAUAUUGUAUCAUGUUUCAGAACUCUCAUCAAUGUCCACCUUACGCUUGUAUCUGUUUCUUGAUCUUUAUAAGCAACUUUUCUGUCAAUUUCAUUUGGUCUAAAUAAUUCGUUUUUAGUGUGA